rnacentral:rRNA from 1 species
UCUGGUGUCCUAGGCGUAGAGGAACCACACCAAUCCAUCCCGAAUUUGGUGGUUAAACUCUACUGCGGUGACGAUACUAUAGGGGAGGUCCUGCGGCAAAAUAGCUCGAUGCCAGAA